GACGAACGCUGGCGGCGUGCCUAAUACAUGCAAGUAGAACGCACAGUUUAUACCGUAGCUUGCUACACCAUAGACUGUGAGUUGCGAACGGGUGAGUAACGCGUAGGUAACCUGCCUGGUAGCGGGGGAUAACUAUUGGAAACGAUAGCUAAUACCGCAUAAUAUUAAUUAUUGCAUGAUAAUUAAUUGAAAGGUGCAAUUGCACCACUACCAGAUGGACCUACGUUGUAUUAGCUAGUAGGUGAGGUAACGGCUCACCUAGGCGACGAUACAUAUCCGACCUGGGAGGGUGAUCGGCCACACUGGGACUGAGACACGGCCCAGACUCCUACGGGAGGCAGCAGUAGGGAAUCUUCGGCAAUGGACGAAAGUCUGACCGAGCAACGCCGCGUGAGUGAAGAAGGUUUUCGGAUCGUAAAGCUCUGUUGUAAGAGAAGAACGGGUGUGAGAGUGGAAAGUUCACACUGUGACGGUAUCUUACCAGAAAGGGACGGCUAACUACGUG
rnacentral:rRNA from 1 species